rnacentral:lncRNA from 1 species
UGCUUUCCUGGGUUUCAAAUUCUGCCAAAAGAAUAUGCUCUGCUGGAGUAUACGCCUGUAAAACAAAGAUUAAACUAAAGAUAAUCUUUACAUGGUGCUCUUUGUUCUGAAGCGGUUUCCUGAAACCGUCUCCGGAGGAUUGAUCCAAGAUGACAGCUCAGUAAAUUUCAGGUCCCUGAAAGACAAAUCUUAGAAUGAGAAGAGCUGGAGGAAGAAGAAGGAAAAAAAGAUAUUCUCCAAAGACCCACCUUGAGUGACAACACAAAUGUCUGAAAACUCACCAGCUAAUCACUGAUUUGGGUUUUAAAUACUGAGGGAAUUGGAAACUGAUGACCUGGCAACCUUGUUACCUCUUAUCCUACAAAUGAAAACAUUUCCACAAGCCCAAGAUUCUUUUUUUAU